rnacentral:piRNA from 2 species
UACAGAUGCCCAGAAAGAUCCAGUGA